CAAACUAUACCGUGAAACUGCGAAUGGCUCAUUAAAUCAGUUAUCGUUUAUUUGAUAGUACCUACUUACUUGGAUAACCGUGGUAAUUCUAGAGCUAAUACAUGCUAAAAACCUCGACUUCGGAAGGGGUGUAUUUAUUAGAUAAAAAACCAAUGCCCUCCGGGGCUCCCUGGUGAUUCAUAAUAACUCAACGAAUCGCAUGGCCUUGUGCCGGCGAUGGUUCAUUCAAAUUUCUGCCCUAUCAACUUUCGAUGGUAGGAUAGUGGCCUACCAUGGUGGCAACGGGUAACGGGGAAUUAGGGUUCUAUUCCGGAGAGGGAGCCUGAGAAACGGCUACCACAUCCAAGGAAGGCAGCAGGCGCGCAAAUUACCCAAUCCCGACACGGGGAGGUAGUGACAAUAAAUACUGAUGUGGAGCUCUUUAGGGUUUCACAAUUGGAAUGAGAAAAAUCUAAACCACUUAAACGAGGAACAAUUGGAGGGCAAGUCUGGUGCCAGCAGCCGCGGUAAUUCCAGCUCCAAUAGCGUAUAUUAAAGUUGUUGCAGUUAAAAAGCUCGUAGUUGAACCUUGGGCCUGGCCGGCCGGUCCGCCUCACCGCGUGCACUGGUUCGGCCGGGCCUUUCCUCCUGGGGAACCGCAUGCCCUUCACUGGGUGUGCCGGGGAAUCAGGACUUUUACUUUGAAAAAAUUAGAGUGUUCAAAGCAGGCAUUUGCUCGAAUACAUUAGCAUGGAAUAAUAGAAUAGGACGUUGUGGUUCUAUUUUGUUGGUUUCUAGGACCGCCGUAAUGA
rnacentral:rRNA from 1 species